UACAGAGGGUGCAAGCGUUAAUCGGAAUUACUGGGCGUAAAGGGCGCGUAGGCGGCCUGCUAAGUCGAACGUGAAAUCCCCGGGCUCAACCUGGGAACUGCGCUUGUGACUGCAAGGCUAGAGUACGGCAGAGGGGGGUGGAAUUCCACGUGUAGCAGUGAAAUGCGUAGAGAUGUGGAGGAACACCAAUGGCGAAGGCAGCCCCCUGGGUCGAUACUGACGCUCAUGCACGAAAGCGUGGGUAGCAAACAGG
rnacentral:rRNA from 1 species